rnacentral:rRNA from 1 species
ACGAACGCUGGCGGCGUGCUUAACACAUGCAAGUCGAACGAAGCUUGAUUACGGAUUCUUCGGAUGAAGUAUGAUAUGACUGAGUGGCGGACGGGUGAGUAACGCGUGAGUAACCUGCCCUUCAGAGGGGGAUAGCGUUUGGAAACGAACGGUAAUACCGCAUAAUGUAUUUUGACCGCAUGAUCGAAAUACCAAAGAUUUAUCGCUGAAGGAUGGACUCGCGUCUGAUUAGGUAGUUGGUGGGGUAACGGCCUACCAAGCCGACGAUCAGUAGCCGGACUGAGAGGUUGAUCGGCCACAUUGGGACUGAGACACGGCCCAGACUCCUACGGGAGGCAGCAGUGGGGAAUAUUGCACAAUGGGCGCAAGCCUGAUGCAGCAACGCCGCGUGAAGGAAGACGGUUUUCGGAUUGUAAACUUCUGUUCUUAGUGAAGAAUAAUGACGGUAGCUAAGGAGCAAGCCACGGCUAACUACGUGCCAGCAGCCGCGGUAAUACGUAGGUGGCAAGCGUUGUCCGGAAUUACUGGGUGUAAAGGGAGCGCAGGCGGGUGAUCAAGUCAGCUGUGAAAACUACGGGCUUAACCCGUAGACUGCAGUUGAAACUGUUCAUCUUGAGUGAAGUAGAGGUUGGCGGAAUUCCGAGUGUAGCGGUGAAAUGCGUAGAUAUUCGGAGGAACACCGGUGGCGAAGGCGGCCAACUGGGCUUUAACUGACGCUGAGGCUCGAAAGUGUGGGGAGCAAACAGGAUUAGAUACCCUGGUAGUCCACACUGUAAACGAUGAUUGCUAGGUGUGGGGGGUCUGACCCCUUCCGUACCGGAGCUAACGCAAUAAGCAAUCCACCUGGGGAGUACGACCGCAAGGUUGAAACUCAAAGGAAUUGACGGGGGCCCGCACAAGCGGUGGAGUAUGUGGUUUAAUUCGACGCAACGCGAAGAACCUUACCAAGUCUUGACAUCCCUUGACGAUACUGGAAACAGUAUUUCUCUUCGGAGCAAGGAGACAGGUGGUGCAUGGUUGUCGUCAGCUCGUGUCGUGAGAUGUUGGGUUAAGUCCCGCAACGAGCGCAACCCCUGUUUCCAGUUGCCAGCACAUAAAGGUGGGGACUCUGGAGAGACUGCCGGUGAUAAAUCGGAGGAAGGUGGGGACGACGUCAAAUCAUCAUGCCCUUUAUGUCCUGGGCUACACACGUACUACAAUGGCUAUAACAAAGAGAAGCGAGACCGCGAGGUGGAGCAAAACUUCAAAAAUGGUCUCAGUUCGGACUGCAGGCUGCAACCCGCCUGCACGAAGUUGGAAUUGCUAGUAAUCGUGGAUCAGCAUGCCACGGUGAAUACGUUCCCGGGUCUUGUACACACCGCCCGUCACACCAUGGGAGCCGGUAACACCCGAAGUCAGUAGUCUAACCGCAAGGAGGACGCUGCCGAAGGUGGGAUUGGCGACUGGGGUG